rnacentral:rRNA from 1 species
AGAGUUUGAUCCUGGCUCAGGAUGAACGCUAGCUACAGGCUUAACACAUGCAAGUCGAGGGGCAUCAGGAAGAAAGCUUGCUUUCUUUGCUGGCGACCGGCGCACGGGUGAGUAACACGUAUCCAACCUGCCCUUUACUCGGGGAUAGCCUUUCGAAAGAAAGAUUAAUACCCGAUGGCAUAAUGAUUCCGCAUGGUUUCAUUAUUAAAGGAUUCCGGUAAAGGAUGGGGAUGCGUUCCAUUAGGUUGUUGGUGAGGUAACGGCUCACCAAGCCUUCGAUGGAUAGGGGUUCUGAGAGGAAGGUCCCCCACAUUGGAACUGAGACACGGUCCAAACUCCUACGGGAGGCAGCAGUGAGGAAUAUUGGUCAAUGGGCGCUAGCCUGAACCAGCCAAGUAGCGUGAAGGAUGAAGGCUCUAUGGGUCGUAAACUUCUUUUAUAUGGGAAUAAAGUUUUCCACGUGUGGAAUUUUGUAUGUACCAUAUGAAUAAGGAUCGGCUAACUCCGUGCCAGCAGCCGCGGUAAUACGGAGGAUCCGAGCGUUAUCCGGAUUUAUUGGGUUUAAAGGGAGCGUAGGCGGACGCUUAAGUCAGUUGUGAAAGUUUGCGGCUCAACCGUAAAAUUGCAGUUGAUACUGGAUAUCUUGAGUGCAGUUGAGGCAGGCGGAAUUCGUGGUGUAGCGGUGAAAUGCUUAGAUAUCACGAAGAACUCCGAUUGCGAAGGCAGCUUGCUGGACUGUAACUGACGCUGAUGCUCGAAAGUGUGGGUAUCAAACAGGAUUAGAUACCCUGGUAGUCCACACAGUAAACGAUGAAUACUCGCUGUUUGCGAUAUACAGUAAGCGGCCAAGCGAAAGCGUUAAGUAUUCCACCUGGGGAGUACGCCGGCAACGGU